rnacentral:rRNA from 1 species
GAUGAACGCUGGCGGCGUGCUUAACGCAUGCAAGUCGAACGGAAAGGCCCAAGCUUGCUUGGGUACUCGAGUGGCGAACGGGUGAGUAACACGUGGGUGAUCUGCCCUGCACUUCGGGAUAAGCCUGGGAAACUGGGUCUAAUACCGGAUAGGACGAUGGUUUGGAUGCCAUUGUGGAAAGUUUUUUCGGUGUGGGAUGAGCUCGCGGCCUAUCAGCUUGUUGGUGGGGUAAUGGCCUACCAAGGCGUCGACGGGUAGCCGGCCUGAGAGGGUGUACGGCCUCAUUGGGACUGAGAUACGGCCCAGACUCCUACGGGAGGCAGCAGUGGGGAAUAUUGCACAAUGGGCGCAAGCCUGAGGCAGCGACGCCGCGUGGGGGAUGACGGCCUUCGGGUUGUAAACUCCUUUCGCUAGGGACGAAGCGUUUUUGUGACGGUACCUGGAGAAGAAGCACCGGCUAACUACGUG